UACGGAGGGGGCUAGCGUUGUUCGGAAUUACUGGGCGUAAAGCGCACGUAGGCGGACAGAGAAGUCAGAGGUGAAAUCCCAGGGCUCAACCUUGGAACUGCCUUUGAAACUUUUUGUCUUGAGGUCGAGAGAGGUGAGUGGAAUUCCGAGUGUAGAGGUGAAAUUCGUAGAUAUUCGGAAGAACACCAGUGGCGAAGGCGGCUGACUGGACAUGUAUUGACGCUGAGGUGCGAAAGCGUGGGGAGCAAACAGG
rnacentral:rRNA from 1 species